AUAGACUGUGUCCUUCCACGUUAAGGAGGCAAAUCCGUGCUACCAUUCGCAAUUUUUUUGAGUAGCAUGUGAGAAAAUAAUUUAGAAACAAGCAGUAAAUCUGAAAAUAUGAUAUUACUCUUGAUAUAACAAAAUAUGAUAUUAAUUACUCUUGGGUAAAGGAAAACAAAUAUGAUAGUUAGUACUCUCUGUGUUUGGACAAAAAUAUUUUUGCCUGCUUGCAUCGGAUUACCGUAAUACGACUGUUUGUCUUCACUCCGAACAACCGGAGAUGAGUACAAUACGACUACAUUAAAUAUAAGAUUGUAAUAUGAAUUGAGAGUCAAAUUAACAAGGGGGAAUUCAGUUAUUUCUUUGUAUGUUUAAGGAAUAGGUGAUGGGUUAGCCUGGUGUAAGACUA